rnacentral:rRNA from 1 species
GAUGAACGCUGGCGGCGUGCCUAAUACAUGCAAGUCGAGCGAACAGACGAGGAGCUUGCUCCUCUGACGUUAGCGGCGGACGGGUGAGUAACACGUGGAUAACCUACCUAUAAGACUGGGAUACCUUCGGGAAACCGGAGCUAAUACCGGAUAAUAUAUUGAACCGCAUGGUUCAUUAGUGAAAGACGGUUUUGCUGUCCCUUAUAGAUGGUUCCGCGCCGCAUUAGCUAGUUGGUAAGGUAACGGCUUACCAAGGCAACGAUGCGUAGCCGACCUGAGAGGGUGAUCGGCCACACUGGAACUGAGACACGGUCCAGACUCCUACGGGAGGCAGCAGUAGGGAAUCUUCCGCAAUGGGCGAAAGCCUGACGGAGCAACGCCGCGUGAGUGAUGAAGGUCUUCGGAUCGUAAAACUCUGUUAUUAGGGAAGAACAAAUGUGUAAGUAACUAUGCACGUCUUGACGGUACCUAAUCAGAAAGCCACGGCUAACUACGUG